UGGGGAAUUUUGGACAAUGGGCGAAAGCCUGAUCCAGCAAUGCCGCGUGUGUGAAGAAGGCCUUCGGGUUGUAAAGCACUUUUGUCCGGAAGGAAAUCCUUGGCUCUAAUACAGUCGGGGGAUGACGGUACCGGAAGAAUAAGCACCGGCUAACUACGUGCCAGCAGCCGCGGUAAUACGUAGGGUGCAAGCGUUAAUCGGAAUUACUGGGCGUAAAGCGUGCGCAGGCGGUUUGCUAAGACCGAUGUGAAAUCCCCGGGCUCAACCUGGGAACUGCAUUGGUGACUGGCAGGCUAGAGUAUGGCAGAGGGGGGUAGGAUUCCACGUGUAGCAGUGAAAUGCGUAGAGAUGUGGAGGAAUACCGAUGGCGAAGGCAGCCCCCUGGGCCAAUACUGACGCUCAUGCACGAAAGCGUGGGGAGCAAACAGGAUUAGAUACCCUGGUAGUCCACGCCCUAAACGAUGUCAACUAGUUGUUGGGGAUUCAUUUCCUUAGUAACGUAGCUAACGCGUGAAGUUGACCGCCUGGGGAGUACGGUCGCAAGAUUAAAACUCAAAGGAAUUGACGGGGUCAUAGCUGUUUCCU
rnacentral:rRNA from 1 species